rnacentral:lncRNA from 1 species
UUUCACUUUGUACCGAAAUAUUGCAAUCUUUGGUUGUAGCAUUGAAAAAAAAAUUACCUUUUAGGUUAUGCUUAGACAAAUAUAGCUUUGGGAAUCCAGCGAAGAAAUUAUUCAAGUUUGGAUCUUUUGAUUUUUCAUAGAGAAAUGUAACUUUUUGGAAUCAUAGCGUUGAAAUAGUUCUACCUUAUUGUCCUUUCGAAAUAAUCUACACCUUCAAUGAGCAAAAAUUGUCAAACCUUUGUAUUAAUGUAUCAUUUAAGAUUUAUUGUAGUUUUUUGUUGAUAUAGUUUUAUAAGAAACGGGGAGUAAAAAAUGUAUGCGUCGUAUUUGAAGUGUUUUUGGGAAAUUUCACUUUGUACCUAAAAUAUUGCAAGCUUUCGUUGUAGCAUUGAAAAAAAAA